AUCUGAGAAAAGCCGAGAGGAGGAAAAGAAAAAAGAAAAAAAGAAAGAAAGAAAGAAAGAAAGAACGGUAUCAGUCACUGGUGAGAGAAGAUUUGUUUUGCUCGAAAGGCACGAGAUUAUAGGAAGUCAGAGAGGACCACAGGAGGGAUUGCAGGACGUCAAAGACAGCAGCCGUCAGUCAUGAGGACAGGCGGCCCUCGGUGUGUUCUGGGAUUUGCAGUGAACACUCUUUACAAGAUGAGAGGAGAGACGGGGGAACUUCCUCGGGGCUAAGCGACACGACAACAGGGUCAAUGACGCUUCGCUCAUGUCCGAGAGUCCAGCCCUGUCCAGCAUUCACACACACAACCUGUACCAGAGGCUUAGAUUGUGCCACAACAACCUUGCCCACCGUGAGUAUGUUGUUAAUUAGUCGUGACAGAGGCCUUCUGAUGAGACUCAUAUUUAAAUGAACUUGUUCUCCAAUGCCUCCUAUCCUUCCUCUUCUCUAUUAAUCUCGUCAUGUUCCCCCCAUUUCACCCCCCUGUUCUGUUGGUCAGCUUCCAGUCCAUUGUGCUGACAGCUGACAUAUCGCCAUGACGACGCUGCUAACGAGCACUGGCACAUGACCUUCAAGGAGGUCAAAGGGAUGCUGGUCAUUAACAUGACACGUCUUGCUUCACAUUUAUACUGCAUAAAUAAACAAAUCACAAGCAAGAAAAGAAAACUUUUUUAUAUUUAUUUCAUUUUUUUUCCCAUUGCUUCGGA